AAAAACAUGUCUUUAUGAAAUAAUUAUAAAGUCUGGCCUGCCCACUGAAUUUUAAAGGGCCGCGGUAUUUUGACCGUGCAAAGGUAGCAUAAUCAUUAGUCUUUUAAUUGGAGGCUUGCAUGAAUGGUCGCACAAGAAAUAAACUGUCUUCAACUAAAUUCAUUGAACUUAACUUUUAAGUAAAAAGGCUUAAAUAAAUUAAAGUGACGAUAAGACCCUAUAAAACUUGAUAAAUAAAAUUAAAAAAGGAUAUUAGUUAAAUUAAAACUUUUUUUGUGGAAUUUAUUUUAUUGGGGCGAUAAAAAUAUAAUUAGUAACUGUUUUUAAUAUUUUAAUGAUUAAUAAUCAGAGUUUAGUAAAUGAUCCUCUAAUAGAGAUUAUAAGAUUAAGUUACUUUAGGGAUAACAGCGUGAUUUUCUUUGAGAGUUCUUAUCUACAAGAAAGAUUACGACCUCGAUGUUGAAUUAAAAAAUCUUUAAGGUGUAGCAGCUU
rnacentral:rRNA from 1 species